UGAAAGUGCUGUCUGUUUCAAGAAGAAAGAACCAAAAGCAUCGUUGAGGCAUCGAAAGACAGAUAACAGGUUCCAAGUGAGCUGAGUUGGGUCAAAAAUGUGAUGUCAGCAGAUGGAAAGUCACCGAUUGGCCAGGGAGUGACAAUCACUGGCUAAGUCAUGAAAGCAACCCGUUCACGAAGAAUCAAACCCUAUUUUUGAAACGAGAGAAGUGGGCACGCACAAACCAACACGGUGGUCUGACACUGAGGAGCAGGCUGCCUCGCUAUAACAACCCCACCCAGACUGAGGUGUGACUCGGUUGUAUUGGAAAACAAGCAAAACCAAGCAGAGUAAAGUCGAGCCAAGCAGGUGCUAGUGGAAAAAAGGCACGACAUGAUCAUUUUCUCAUUACGACGUCUCCAGCUAACAGGGAGGAAAAUACUAACAUCGGCCACUUCAAGGACAAGAACUUGAUUUAUUUAUCUUCUUCUAAACAGCAGUUGACUUUAUAUUUAGCUUGAGGUGGAUUAUUGUGCAGCGCACACAUAAAAAUGGAAAUGUUUUGGGCCACAUUUGGAUUCACGGCUUCAACUGACCUGGAUGAAAAUGGCAAAGCACGUUUGGAGAGAUUUAGGAGGCUGUACGACCAACUUGAAGAUGGCCUUGGGCGAGAUUCUAAGUGCUUUGUACAGGCAGCUGCUGCAGAUGAUGCAAAUCUGGAGGGUUCUCGGAACGAGGUGGUCCAAGCUCCGUUUGUUUGGUUUGGAGGCACUUUUAGUGGAACUUUUGGAGGCAUCAUUGGUGCAACAUGUGCCACUUUGGGAGCGGUUUGCGCAAUGAUUUACUCCAAACUUUGUGGAGAUGUUGAUACAGUUAGUGCAACGGUUGGCUUUGUGAGCAGCGUAUUUGGGGGAGUAGUCGGAGGAGCGUUUACCGGUGCAGUUAGUGGGUCGGUGAAUGCGGCAGCUUUAGUAAAAGAUAGAGAAGAUUAUGGCUUUUUUGGCGAAGUGUUAUGUUUCACUGUUGGCUGGGCAAUCGGUCACGGAAUCGGCCGCUGUUUUGGUCGGCAAGUAGGUGCAGCAGGUGGUGCUAUAGGUGGAGGAUUUGGGGCUUUGUAUGCAACGAGAGCCACAGUUCGUAUAAGCAGAAGUUUAAUCAAAUAUAAUUAUAAGAAAAAUCGAAAAGCAGAAAUGAUGAGGAACGCUAGGGGAGACAAAAGCUUCCAAACACUUGUAAAAGAGUUGAAAACAAUAGAAAAGACUGUCAACAACAUGUUCUCCAGCGAUGCUGUGAAAGACGUCGUGGAUUAGGGUGCAAAGAUUCUGACUGCUGUGACAGGGAUGGAGAAGUGUGUGACGAACGGUCAGUGGACGGCAAACGGUCAGAGUUCCUCUCCUGUUUUUAAGAAGCACCAAUCCCAGAAGAGCUGCAGAGGAUGAGCGAGGGAGUGGAGAAACUCUGAGGCUGUCGGUGAAACAGCAGCUCUGAACAUUUAGUGUUUAUAUUUAGUUGAUUUUUUUUCUGAGUUCCUAAAUUCUCUUUUUGAUUCAUUAAUUUUUCCAAAAUGCUACAAUAUCGAAACUCAACCCUUUUCUUGUUAAACAUGUCAGUGGGAUUUGGGGAUGCUUUAACAACUGCUGUCAGAUUUCUGUGUAAUGUUGUUUAACUACUGUUGUUCUUUCUACUUUGUGCUCUUUAUGAUGCUUGUUACCCCCACAGAGAGGGGAAAUCCCUGCCCUCUCAGAUACUGUUCAAAGAUGAAGGCAAGGCAAGUUUAUU